rnacentral:rRNA from 1 species
UACGUAGGGUGCGAGCGUUGUCCGGAUUUAUUGGGCGUAAAGGGCUCGUAGGCGGCGUGUCGCGUCGGGAGUGAAAGACCGGGGCUUAACCCCGGUUCUGCUUCCGGUACGGGCAUGCUGGAGUGUGGGCAGGGGAGACUGGAAUUCCUGGUGUAGCGGUGGAAUGCGCAGAUAUCAGGAGGAACACCGGUGGCGAAGGCGGGUCUCUGGGCCAUUACUGACGCUGAGGAGCGAAAGCGUGGGGAGCGAACAGG